rnacentral:lncRNA from 1 species
CACAGAGCUUCAAUUAUGCCGAGAGCAUGGACAGAAAGCGCGUGACGAGACAGAAUAGGCGCAGCUCAUUGGAGACGAAGGAAGGUCGUAUAGCUCGUCAAGCGGAGCUGCAAGCUAAAAAUGACGCAUAUGAGCAAGAAGAGGGAUUGCUAUAUGGUGCUGGAAUAGCUGAUUAAUCGAUAAAAAUUGCGACGUCAGGGGCGUACGCAAUCCAGGUGCUCGGAUGGCAAUCGCCCAUGGACUGCACGCGGUAACUCUACUAUUUCCGGCGAAAAUCGUUUGAAAAAAUUUCAAAGUGUACUUGAAAACAUAAAUAAAAUAUCCUCCAAGUUUAAA